AUGUACCGCUUGUACACUUCGGUUCCUGCGCGCCGCGCGCACCCACCUGACAACCGCGCGCUACGUUUUAUCAACC
rnacentral:sRNA from 1 species